rnacentral:rRNA from 1 species
AGAGUUUGAUCCUGGCUCAGGACGAACGCUGGCGGCGUGCCUAACACAUGCAAGUCGAACGGGGUGAGGCCCUUCGGGACCUUACCUAGUGGCGAACGGGUGAGUAACGCGUGAGGAACCUGCCUUUCAGUGGGGGACAACAGUUGGAAACGACUGCUAAUACCGCAUGAAGCUUUUGGGAGACAUCUCCUGGAAGCCAAAGCUUAAUGUGCUGAAAGAUGGCCUCGCGUCUGAUUAGCUAGUUGGUGGGGUAACGGCCCACCAAGGCGACGAUCAGUAGCCGGUCUGAGAGGAUGAACGGCCACAUUGGGACUGAGAUACGGCCCAGACUCCUACGGGAGGCAGCAGUGGGGAAUAUUGGGCAAUGGGCGAAAGCCUGACCCAGCAACGCCGCGUGAAGGAAGAAGGCCUUCGGGUUGUAAACUUCUUUUACCAGGGACGAAGGACGUGACGGUACCUGGAGAAAAAGCAACGGCUAGCUACGUGCCAGCAGCCGCGGUAAUACGUAGGUUGCAAGCGUUGUCCGGAUUUACUGGGUGUAAAGGGCGUGUAGGCGGAGAUGCAAGUUAGGAGUGGAAUCUAUGGGCUCAACCCAUAAACUGCUUCUAAAACUGUAUCCCUUGAGUAUCGGAGAGGCAAGCGGAAUUCCUAGUGUAGCGGUGAAAUGCGUAGAUAUUAGGAGGAACACCAGUGGCGAAGGCGGCUUGCUGGACGACAACUGACGCUGAGGCGCGAAAGCGUGGGGAGCAAACAGGAUUAGAUACCCUGGUAGUCCACGCUGUAAACGAUGAAUACUAGGUGUGGGGGGACUGACCCCCUCCGUGCCGCAGUUAACACAAUAAGUAUUCCACCUGGGGAGUACGACCGCAAGGUUGAAACUCAAAGGAAUUGACGGGGGCCCGCACAAGCAGUGGAUUAUGUGGUUUAAUUCGACGCAACGCGAAGAACCUUACCAGGACUUGACAUCCAACUAACGAAGUAGAGAUACAUCAGGUGCCCUUCGGGGAAAGUUGAGACAGGUGGUGCAUGGUUGUCGUCAGCUCGUGUCGUGAGAUGUUGGGUUAAGUCCCGCAACGAGCGCAACCCCUAUUGUUAGUUGCUACGAAAGAGCACUCUAGCGAGACUGCCGUUGACAAAACGGAGGAAGGCGGGGACGACGUCAAAUCAUCAUGCCCCUUAUGUCCUGGGCUACACACGUAAUACAAUGGUGGCCAACAGAGGGAAGCGAAGCCGUGAGGCAGAGCAAAUCCCUAAAAGCCAUCUCAGUUCGGAUUGCAGGCUGCAACUCGCCUGCAUGAAGCUGGAAUUGCUAGUAAUCGCGGAUCAGCAUGCCGCGGUGAAUACGUUCCCGGGCCUUGUACACACCGCCCGUCACACCAUGAGAGUCGGGAACACCCGAAGUCCGUAGUCUAACCGCAAGGGGGGCGCGGCCGAAGGUGGGUCCGGUAAUUGGGGUGAAGUCGUAACAAGGUA